GGUCACAAGUAUGUCGUUGAAAAUCUCAUCAGCAAUGGAGCCAAAAUGGAUUCUACUGACGAUCGGAAGCGGACACCACUUCAUAUGGCUGCUGCAAAUGGCAAAUUACAUAUCGUUCAACUUCUUGUCGCCAAUGGAGCCAGUGUUACUGCUACCGACAGUUGUAAUAAGACACCUUAUAAAAAAGCUUUUAAGAAUGAUAAAAAGGAGGUCGCUGACUAUCUUAAGGAGGUUGAAGAAAAAAGACGCCGUGGACACAAGUGAAAUAAAUUGAAAAAUCAGAUGUUUUCCUUUGAGUUCCGUAUUCGAUUGUCAUGUAGA